CGAUUCUGAUGCAGAUUUUGAUACGGCUUGAAAUAAAUAUUAAAUUAUAAUGGCAAGUGCGGUAGAUGCCGUUGGAGAACCGAUUCCGGCAUCGGCAGUGAUGAUUCAGCGUCUAAGCUUAUCACAGGUGUUUUUGAAAUUUUAUGAACUAGAGAUUUGCCUUGAGAGUUGUUGGGGAUCGUGCAGUAAAACCAACCAGGGGCUCAAUCUUGUCUACAUGCAUGCCCGGAGAAGUUCCUUCACAUAUGCCGUAAAGUAGGUGUACUUGCCAAUUUGCAGGUUUUAUGCCUCUUUCGUUGUCUACAAGAUGGACAGUUCGGACAAUUUGGUUAUUAAGUUUGGGUUAAAACAGGUCAUAUUUUGUUUAAAAGAAAUGGGCUAAUUCUGGUUGGUUUGGCUCCUAAACAUUUUUCGUCAAUCUUCAACUUUUUAGAUACAUGUAUUAUGUUAAUUGUGAUCAGAAAAGAAUACCAUGACAAUAGUAAUUUAGACUUUUAACAAAUGAUAUAAGAGGGGUGUUGAGAUUGUGUACUGUCUGUAGCUAGGUGAAGUAGGGCUAUAACUUGGCGUGGUAGGAAUAUAACCAGGGGGUACGACUGUAACUAGGUGGGAGGUGCGGGGCUGUAGAAUGUGGAGGUUUGGUUGUAAAACGGGGAAGUAGAGCUGGCUGGUGAAGUAGGGCUGUAUGGGGUAUAUAUAGGGCUCUAGGCAGGGAUGUGGGGAUGUAACUAGCGGACGGAAGCAUAUAGUUGGGUGAAGAUACCCUAUCCUGACCUGAAAUGUCAUUGUCAAUAAAAAGGACAUGAAGUUCAGAGAUUAUGUUAGCAGGAGAUCCAUUCUUCUCUUGCCGCCUCAGGUUCUCAUUGCAUCUGAUUAUAAGGGCCAGCUGAUGAGUUAAAUUGCCAUGUUCCAGAAAGGUGAAGAUAAAGUGUGAUAAAGUGUAAGAAGGGCCAAAUAACAUAAUUAAAAAAUAGCAUUACUUCUAGCUGAAGUAUCCUUCAUGACAGAUGGCCUGACAGGAGGUGGUGGUAUUGGAAGGGCCUGAAGGAUCAUCCAAUCAGGACGAGCAUACAUGGGUUAGCAUAUUAUUUUUGUAUCAUUUUGUUUAUCAAGGCAUAUUUAGGCUGUUAUAUUG